GGGCAGGGGAGGGAGAGGGGAAUGACAAGGGGCAGGGGAGGGAGAGGGGAAUGACAGGGGGCAGGAGAGGCACAGGGGAAUGACAGGGGGCAGGGGAGGGAGAGGGAAUGACAGGUGGCAGGGGAGGGACAGGGAAUGACAGGGGCAGGGGAGGGAGAGGGGAAUGACAGGUGGGCAGGGGAGGGAGAGGGGAAUGACAGAUGGGCAGGGGAGGGAGAGGGGAAUGAUAGGGGGCAGGGGAGGGAGAGGGGAAUGACAGGUGGGCAGGGGAGGGAGAGGGGAAUGACAGGGGGCAGGGGAGGAAGAGGGGAAUGACAGGGGGCAGGGGGGGCAGGGGGAGGGAGAAGGGAAUGACAGGUGGGCAGGAGAGGGAGAGGGGAAUGACAGGGGGCAGGGGAGGGAGAGGGGAAUGACAGGUGGUCAGGAGAGGGAGAGGGGAAUGACAGGUGGGCAGGAGAGGGAGAGGAGAGGGAGAGAGGAAUGACAGGGGGCAGGGGAGGGAGAGGGGAAUGACAGGGGAGGGGGGCAGGGGGAGGGAGAGGGGAAUGACAGGGGGCAGGGGAGGGAGAGGGGAAUGACAGGUGG
ensembl:lncRNA